GAUGAAUCUUCUUUUAAGAGCUCUAGUAGACUACUAGUUUGAUAGGCUGGGUGUGUAAGUGAUGAGAGUCAUUUAGCUGACCAGUACUAAUAGCUCGUUUGCUUAUCUUA
rnacentral:rRNA from 1 species